rnacentral:rRNA from 1 species
UACGUAGGGUGCGAGCGUUGUCCGGAAUUACUGGGCGUAAAGCGUGCGCAGGCGGUUCGUUGUGUCGGCGGUGAAAUCCCCGGGCUCAACCUGGGAAUGGCCGUUGAAACUGGCGAACUGGAGUGUGGCAGAGGGGGGUGGAAUUCCGCGUGUAGCAGUGAAAUGCGUAGAGAUGCGGAGGAACACCGAUGGCGAAGGCAGCCCCCCUGGGCUGACACUGACGCUCAGGCACGAAAGCGUGGGGAGCAAACAGG